CGGUAAUUCCAGCUCCAAUAGCGUAUACUAAAGUUGUUGCAGUUAAAAAGCUCGUAGUUGGAUUUCUGCGGGGACGGAGCGGCCGGACGCAACUUGCGUCUCGAGCUAGCGCUUUCCCCGCAUCCUGCCGCGAACCGUGCUACCAUUAGUUUGGUGGCGCUGGGGAUCGGCUCGAUUACUUUGAGAAAAAUAGAGUGUUCAAAGCAGGCCACACGCCUUGAAUAAGUUAGCAUGGAAUAAUGACUAAGGACUUUGGUUCUUUUCGUUGGUGUUCGGGACUGAAGUAAUGAUUGAUAGGGACAGUUGGGGCGGUCCGUAUUCCAAAGCGAGAGGUGAAAUUCUUAGACCUUCGGAAGACGAACAGCUGCGAAAGCGUUCCGCAAGGAUGUUCCCUUUGAUCAAGAACGAAAGUUGGGGGAUCGAAGACGGUCAGAUAUCGUCGUAGUCUCAACUAUAAACUAUACCAGCUAGGGAUCGGCCAACGUUUAAUUAUUCGACUUGGUCGGCACCUUAUGAGAAAUCAAAGCAUCUGGGUUCCGGGGGGAGUAUGGUCGCAAGGCUGAAACUUAAAGGAAUUGACGGAAGGGCACCACCAGGCGUGGAGCCUGUGGCUUAAUUUGACUCAACACGGGAAAACUUACCAGGUCCAGACAUAGGAAGGAUUGACAGAUUGAUAGCUCUUUCUUGAUUCUGUGGGUGGUGGUGCAUGGCCGUUUUUAGUCGGUGAAGUGAUUUGUCUGCUUAAUUGCGUUAACGGACGAGACCCCAGCCUGCUAAAUAGCGCGGCCGAGCUUUGCUCGGUACGAGCUUCUUAGAGGGACCAUGAUGCGCGAUAGCACAAGGAAGUUUGGGGCAACAACAGGUCUGUGAUGCCCUUAGAUGUUCUGGGCCGCACACGGGCUACACUGGCGCCUGCAACGAGCAUAUCAGCUGGCCCGAGAGGGUCUUGGCUAAUCUUUGGAACCGGCGCCGUGCUUGGGAUUGACCAUUGCAAUUGUUGGUCAUGCAACGAGGAAUGCCUUGUAAACGCGAGUCAUCAGCUCGCAUUGAAUACGUCCCUGCCCUUUGUACACACCGCCCGUCGCUCCUACCGAUGAAUGUUCCGAUGAAAUUUUCGGAGAGCGCCGGAGAACGGGGCUCUGCCCUGCAGAACUGGAGGCUCAAAGUCACUUAAAUCUGAACAUUUCGAGGAAGGAGAAGUCGUAACAAGGUUUCCGUAGGUGAACCUGCAGAAGGAUCA
rnacentral:rRNA from 1 species